rnacentral:rRNA from 1 species
UAUACAGAGUGACAAGUGACCAAUGCGGAAAGAUUAAGGCAAGUUGUCAAGCCCGUAAGGCCUAAAGCUCCGAACCUAAGUCCCCGUGAAUGUCGGCCGUAACUAUAACGGUCCUAAGGUAGCGAAAUUCCUUGUCGGGUAAGUUCCGACCUGCACGAAUCUUGUAACAAUAGAGCGACUGUCUCGGAGAGAGGCUCGGCGAAACUGUAGUUGCGGUGAAGAUGCCGCAUACCCGCAGUAGGACGGAAAGACCCCAUGCACCUUUACUGUAAGCUGAUAUUGGACUUUGGUGUGUGAUACGUAGCGUAGGUGGGACCCUUUGAAACCGAGCUUUCGGGUUCGGUGGAGGGAACAAUGAAACACCACUUUUCGCUCAUUAAGGUUCUAACCGCGAGCCAUUAUCUGGCCGCGGGACCGUGUCAGCGGGUCAGUUUGACUGGGGCGGUUUCCUCCCAAAAAGUAACGGAGGAGUGCGAAGCUUGGCUCAACCUGGUUGGCAAUCAGGUGUUGAGGAUAUGGCUAUAAGCCAGGCUCACUGCGAGACCUACAAGUCGAGCAGAUGCGAAAGCAGGCCCAAGUGAUCCGGCGGUUGAAAGUGGAAUUGCCGUCGCUCAUCGGAUAAAAGGUACGCUGGGGAUAACAGGCUUAUCGCGCCCGAGAGUUCACAUCGACGGCCCGGUUUGGCACCUCGAUGUCGGCUUGUCACAUCCUGGGGCUGGAGAAGGUCCCAAGGGUCCGGCUGUUCGCCGGUUAAAGUGGCACAUGAGCUGGGUUCAGAACGUCGUGAGACAGUUCGGUCUGUAUCCGUCGUGGGCGUGGGAGUGUUGAGGGACGUCGUCUCUAGUACGAGAGGACCGAGACGAAGCGACCGCUCGUGUACGGGCUGUCCCGCCAGGGGCAGCGCCCGGUAGCGAUGUCGCGCGGAGAUAACCGCUGAAAGCAUCUAAGUGGGAAACUCUUCCCAAGAUGAACACUCCUGGAGCUUAAGCUCCCUAAAGGGCCCUGGAAGACUACCAGGUUGAUAGGCGGCAGGUGCACGGGGAGUGAUCCCUUCAGCCGAGCCGUACUAAUCGCCCGUGAAGUUUGAUCUC